UACGGAGGGUGCAAGCGUUAUCCGGAUUCACUGGGUUUAAAGGGUGCGUAGGUGGGUUGGUAAGUCAGUGGUGAAAUCUCCGUGCUUAACAUGGAACUGCCAUUGAUACUACUGAUCUUGAAUUUUCAGGAAGGUAAGCGGAAUAUGUCAUGUAGCGGUGAAAUGCUUAGAUAUGACAUAGAACACCAAUUGCGAAGGCAGCUUACUACAGGAAUAUUGACACUGAUGCACGAAAGCGUGGGGAUCAAACAGG
rnacentral:rRNA from 1 species